rnacentral:rRNA from 1 species
AAUAGAUACCCAGGUAGUCCACGCCGUAAACGAUGAGUGCUAAGUGUUAGAGGGUUUCCGCCCUUUAGUGCUGCAGCUAACGCAUUAAGCACUCCGCCUGGGGAGUACGGCCGCAAGGCUGAAACUCAAAGGAAUUGACGGGGGCCCGCACAAGCGGUGGAGCAUGUGGUUUAAUUCGAAGCAACGCGAAGAACCUUACCAGGUCUUGACAUCCUCUGCCAACCCUAGAGAUAGGGCCGUUCCCCGUUCGGGGGACAGAGUGACAGGUGGUGCAUGGUUGUCGUCAGCUCGUGUCGUGAGAUUGUUGGGUUAAGUCCCGCAACGAGCGCAACCCUUGAUCUUAGUUGCCAGCAUUCAGUUGGGCACUCUAAGGUGACUGCCGGUGACGAAACCGGAGGAAGGUGGGGAUGGCGUCAAAUCAUCAUGCCCCUUAUGACCUGGGCUACACACGUGCUACAAUGGAUGGUACAAAGAGUUGCGAACCCGCGAGGGUAAGCCAAUCUCAUAAAGCCAUUCUCAGUUCGGAUUGUAGG